GAUGCUUAUUUUUCUUGAAACCUAACAAAUUUAACCUUUACAAAAUCUUGAAAUAGUUUGUAAAGACUUAAAGAAGAGUUAAGGCAAAGAAAAAGAUGAAAACUUUUGAAGUAUUGAUUAUGAUCAUGGCUAUGUUGGCUUUCGCCCAAGCUGAUCACUACAAUCUUCCAUAUGUGCAAAUUGAGUCAAACAAUGAGUCUAUUAAAGUUAGUUGUACUCGCAAAUGUGAAUUGAUAUGCGCACCUUUAAUAGAAAUUCCUCCCGCUUAUUUUCUAUGUGUUGACAAUUGCACUAAAAGAUGUCCUGAAAUGUUCUCUACUAGUCUCAAAAAUUGCAUGACUGGAUGUGGCUCAAUCAAGUUCAUUGAAGUCAAUAUUGAUGUUCGUGGUCUUGCUACACAUGUGGUGAAUUCAUGCUUGCAGGAGUGUCAGAAGAAGAAAUAGUUUGUUAUAAGAAUGUUCAAGAAAAAGUUGUGUGAAUAUUCAUGCAUAAUUGCAACAAAUAAAUCUUAAUCAAUAAGUAGCACUUAUCAACUAUUUUUCAUAAAUCCUUUUUUCAA